rnacentral:misc_RNA from 2 species
AACGCACAUUGCGCCCAUUGGUAUUCCGAUGGGCACACUGCAGCGAGCGUCGCUUCUAUUCUCAGCACCAGCUGGUUUUGGACAUGCCCAAGGGCUGCUCCCUAAUGAAGUGACCGUUCGCUCGGCUGACAGGAGUCGCCGACAGCGGCAAAACUUUUUACAAUUUUUGACCUCGCUGCAGUGAGAAUACCCGCUGAACUUAA